rnacentral:rRNA from 1 species
GACAGAGGAUGCAAGCGUUAUCCGGAAUGAUUGGGCGUAAAGCGUCUGUAGGUGGCUUUUCAAGUCCGCCGUCAAAUCCCAGGGCUCAACCCUGGACAGGCGGUGGAAACUGCCAAGCUGGAGUACGGUAGGGGCAGAGGGAAUUUCCGGUGGAGCGGUGAAAUGCGUAGAGAUCGGAAAGAACACCAACGGCGAAAGCACUCUGCUGGGCCGACAAUGACACGGAGAGACGAAAGCUAGGGGAGCGAAUGGG